rnacentral:rRNA from 1 species
UACGGAGGGUGCAAGCGUUAUCCGGAUUUAUUGGGUUUAAAGGGUGCGUAGGCGGUCUUAUAAGUCAGUGGUGAAAUACGGCAGCUCAACUGUCGAGGUGCCAUUGAUACUGUAGGACUUGAGUACAGACGAGGUAGGCGGAAUUGACGGUGUAGCGGUGAAAUGCUUAGAUAUCGUCAAGAACACCGAUAGCGAAGGCAGCUUACUAGGCUGUAACUGACGCUGAGGCACGAAAGUGUGGGGAUCAAACAGG